UCUAUGAUUUGAAAAACUAUUUAUUUUUUUAACAUAUUUUUAUCGAAUUUUUUACUAUAUAGUAUAAACUCCUCCGUCUUUUUUCUCCAUUUUAGCCAAAAAUUCUUUAGGCAGUUUACCAGGAUUACUAAUUCGCCUUUUGGUGAUUUCUUGAAUAAUCGUUUUUUUCUCACCGGGUUUAUCUCCAUCUAUAAUCAAUUCUUGUCUCACAGUUUCUCCUUCUUUUUCGGCGAUAAAACAUUUUCAAAGUUGCUAUCAGGGAAGAAUCUGCUCCUCAGUAAGAACAUUUUUUAGUGACACUGAAUAAAAGAGUUCAACUAGUUGGCCGCGUCAAUGUUCGAGUGAUUUUUGAAACAUAUUUAGACUUAGCCUAGACUAUUCAACCAUUUAACUAUGACACCUUCUUCUGGU